GAUGAAAGUUGCGCAAAAUCUACAUGAGCAACUGCACAAAAGACUGUUAGAAUUCAGAAAGCACUAAAUUCUGCCUAAUAUCACUGAAACAACUUGUAAAGAUUGACCAGAAGAUAUCCUCAGUGACAAGUGUUUGUGACCAAAGAGUGUCAGAGAAAGAGAAGAAAACAAUGGCCAAGAAGACAAAAGAAAAGUACAGAGCGGAAUUGCCGAAACAAAUUCCUAAAAAUCAGGCUGCUGGUUUGGAUCCUCAAGUUCCGCAUCCUACACUCCAGCUGAUGCACAUCCUGAAGUGUAUGCUCCUCAUUUUCAUUUUUGGAGUCAAGUUUAUGCUCACCAUCUUCAGUAUGGGAGUCAAGUUUAUGAACCACUUCCCCAUUAUGGAACUCGAGUAUAUGCGUCUCAUCUUCAAUAAUGGACUCAAGUUUAUGAACAUCAUCCUCAUUGUGGGACUCAAGUUAAUGCCCCUCAUCUUCAUAAAUGGACUCAAGUUUAUGCCCCUCAUCGCCAUUAAUGGACUCAAGUUGAUGCCCCUCAUCUUCAUUAUGGG
rnacentral:lncRNA from 1 species